UUUUUUUUUUUUUUUUUUUUUUUUUUAGUCCAUUCAGCCACUGUAUGUCUUUUGAUUGGAGCAUUUAAUUCAUUUACACUCAAUUAAUGAUAGGUGAGAUUCCAGUGUUUCCUCCAGAAAGGCACAUUAUUCCUCCACCAUGGUCUUCUUUUUCCUGUGUACCUUGACCCUGUAGGAGAUGAGACUUCUAAAGUGAUUCCUUUCCCUCUUUUCUCCUCAUCACCCCUUCCCACUCUCUAAGGUUUUCAGGUGCUGGUUCCAUGGCUCUUCCUGAGCCGAAAAUAAGGAAACUCCAUAGACCUUGUCCACUGGAACUCGUUCCCAUCUACCCUCCACUCUAUCCAGGGUGAUGGAUCUCUGCAGUAAGUGGAAGAGUUCUUCAUGGCCCCCAAGGUUAUAUCCAUCUAGAACUUCAGCACGUAAUUUCAUCUGGAAAUAGUGCCUUUGCGGAUAUAAGUUAGGUAAAACUGAAGAUGAGAUCAUACUGGAUUAGGAUGGGAUCUAAAUCCAAUGAAAAUGUCUUCAUAAAAAACAGGAAAGAACCCAUAGAAACACAAGGAAGAAGGUCAUGUGAAGAUGGAGGCAGAGAUUGGAGGGAUGCAGCCACCGGCCCAGGAAUGCCAGCAGCCACCCAGAAGCUGGAAGGAAAUGAGGGAUUCUCUCCUAGAACCUUUAGAGAGAACAUGGUCCUGUGAACAGCUUGAUUUUGGACUUGCCCAUAGCUUGUAUACUCUUACUUUGGAUACAAUUUUAUCCAAACUUGGCUAAACAGUUUCUCAGCCUAUGGAAAAUUUAAAAUGGAGAAGAUUCAACUCGAUUCUUACAGAUUCAAAGCAAGAAAAUGAUGGGAACAUAGGAGGAGACCAAGAAAGCCUAUAAAAAGCAAAAAUAUGAAGUGAACAUUGUGGUAGCUUUAAGAUGUUUAGUGUAGCUGCAGGCACCCUAUACACAUGAAAACCCCCAAGGGGAAUCCCCAUAUCACAGUGUAGUGUGAUAUUUGACAUUCGUGAUCAUCUAGAGAUGUACAGAAAAGGUGAAUCUGUGUUCUGUAUAUUCUGCCUAAGGCAAAGAAAUGUUUAGCUCUCUUUAAAAUAGUUCCAUAAUUUUUUCUAAAAAGCUUUGCUUGAAAACUGUAAGCUUCCCAUAUCUGGAGCAUUUCACUUUAAAUAUUUGGAUAAAUAUGUUAUCUUCUUACUUGGACAUUUCAUGUGUUUAGGGAUUGUCUUCUAAAUUCUUCCUAAUUCAUAUAGCUGCUAACACUUCCCGCAGAGCUAAACCAUUACAGAUAUGAAAUAAAGACCUAUUGAUUUGA
rnacentral:lncRNA from 1 species